rnacentral:rRNA from 1 species
GUGCACCAGGCGAGAAACCUUCGCAAUGCAGGAAACUGCGACGAGGGAACUCCAAGUGCCUACGCUCAGCGUAGGCUGUUCUCAAGCCUAGAAAGCUUGAGGAGUAAGGGCUGGGUAAGACGGGUGCCAUCUGUGGUAGCAGUCAAUAGAUUCGAUUUGUUACUGCAAGGCAUAAGCCGCCGCGGUAAUACCCGCAGCCCAAGUGGUGGCCGCUUUUAUUGGGCCUAAAGCGUCCGUAGCCGGCCCGGUAAAUGCCUGGGGUAAAUCGUGGAGCCCAACUUCACGAAUUCCGGGUAGACUGCCGAGCUCGGGACCGGAAGAGGGAGAGGGUACUUCAGGGGUAGGGGUGAAAAUUUCCUUUCCAUUAACG